rnacentral:lncRNA from 1 species
GGAUUGGCUAAUAAUUUGUAGGAGUUGAUGAAUUUGAUAUAAAGUAAAAUAAAAAGUCUUCUUUGUAAAACUAUAAUCAUGCCUAUCAUUUUUAAUGAUCACAUUUUUAUUUUAAGGUGAAAUACUAAUAAUAGAAAUAUAUGUGCGAUUCUUGGUUACACUAAUUCCAUUAUGCUUCAAUUACUAAAUUUAACAUGUUAUUUAUAUAUAUACCCCAAAUGCAGUGA